rnacentral:rRNA from 1 species
GGCCAGACUCCUACGGGAGGCGGCAGUGAGGAAUAUUGGUCAAUGGGCGGGAGCCUGAACCAGCCAAGUCGCGUGAGGGACGACGGUCCUAUGGAUUGUAAACCUCUUUUGUCGGGGAACAAAGGCGCCCACGGGUGGGCGGAUGAGUGUACCCGAAGAAAAAGCAUCGGCUAACUCCGUGCCAGCAGCCGCGGUAAUACGGAGGAUGCGAGCGUUAUCCGGAUUUAUUGGGUUUAAAGGGUGCGUAGGCGGGAUGCCAAGUAAGGGGGAAAAUGCGGGGGCGCAACCUGCGUCCGCCGUUGAAACUGGCGUUCUUGAGUGGGCGAGAAGUACGCGGAAUGCGUGGUGUAGCGGUGAAAUGCAUAGAUAUCACGCAGAACCCCGAUUGCGAAGGCAGCGUACCGGCGCCCAACUGACGCUGAAGCACGAAAGCGUGGGUAUCGAACAGGAUUAGAUACCCCAGUA